rnacentral:rRNA from 1 species
AUGUAAUUUAAUGUCUACAACAUUAAUGCACUGGAUCCCAUUAAAAAUCCAAAGUUAAGCGUGCUUGGGCUAGAGUAGAAUUGGGAUGGGUGACCUCCUGGGAAGUCCUAGUGUUUUACAUG